GCAUAUCAAUAAGCGGAGGAAAAGAAACCAACAGGGAUUGCCUUAGUAACGGCGAGUGAAGCGGCAACAGCUCAAAUUUGAAAGCUGGCCCUUUUAGGGUCCGCGUUGUAAUCUGUAGAGGAUGGUUCGGCGAGGGCUCCCGCCUAAGUCCCCUGGAACGGGGCGUCAUAGAGGGUGAGAAUCCCGUAUGCGGUGGGUUGCUUUAGCCAUGUGAACCUCCUUCGACGAGUCGAGUUGUUUGGGAAUGCAGCUCUAAAUGGGAGGUAAAUUUCUUCUAAAGCUAAAUACCGGCCAGAGACCGAUAGCGCACAAGUAGAGUGAUCGAAAGAUGAAAAGCACUUUGGAAAGAGAGUUAAAAAGUACGUGAAAUUGUUGAAAGGGAAGCGCUUGCAACCAGACUUGUCCGCAGUUGCUCAGCCGGUCUCCUGACCGGCGUACUCUUCUGCGGCCAGGCCAGCAUCAGUUCGGGCGGUCGGAUAAAGGCCUCGGGAAUGUGGCUCCUCUCGGGGAGUGUUAUAGCCCGGGGCGGAAUGCGGCCAGCCUGGACUGAGGAUCUCGCUUCGGCAAGGAUGCUGGCGUAAUGGUUGUAAGCGGCCCGUCUUGAAACACGGACC
rnacentral:rRNA from 1 species